UCAAAGUGUUUGUUGGCCU
rnacentral:siRNA from 1 species